rnacentral:lncRNA from 1 species
ACGGUUUUCAAUUCGAAAUAAAAUCUCAAUUGAAUUAGACCAACAUACAUGAGGCAUGAUUGAACAUUAAAAGAAAAAAAAACACACACACACAAUUUAUUACCAGUGAAAGCAGUACUGCAACAACUUGCUACAAUAUUCUCCUUGAUUUAUUCAUAUUACAACAAUUACUAAAAGGUGUUUUGGUAGUCAGCCCAUCAGUGAUUCGUGAUUAAUACAUACACACAAACGCAGAUGCAUAUCCAAGAGAAGAGAUGGAUCCAUGCAUUUUGCUCUUAUUUUAGGUUACACUGCAAGGAGAAGUCGAAGUUGCAUGCACGGAUGGACGAUCGUCAUAAACUACUAAACCAAAGCAAAUACGCCCGCCACAACAGUGAGAACGAGUCCUCCAACACGGUUCACAAGUCCUCCAACACUACCUAUGAGAUCACUCAGGGCAUUACCGAGCAACAAACCAACAGGCGUAAGAACCCCCCUGAGCACUCCCCUGACUGGUAAAACUGGGCAACUCGGAACAGGAAGUUUGACAGACACCUGGCAGACGGAAAUUAUUGAAUUGAUGCUGAGGUUAAGGUUAAGGGUAACACCGGGUGGAGUAACUAUGGUGGCAUUGAAGAAUCCAUUAAUAUCAGUUCGAGUAGUAACCGCAGUGAUGUUGGGACAGGUUAUAAUCACGGUAGCAUUAACCAAGGGUGGUGAAAUACCGAUUGGUGAAGGGUUCCCUGUAGGAGUACAGUAUAAGUUGCCAGUUACCCUCGCGGCAGCGAAAGAUGAUACAAUGUCACCUUUUCCCACAUAUGGAGUAGCAGCCAUGAUAGCGAGGAGGAGAGCAAGAGCAAGGCUCAGAGAAAUACCAUGACUACCAUUAAAAGCCAUAGCUAGAAUAGUGUUGAUCGGGAUUUUGGGCUAAUUUAUGCUUGUAAAAGGAGGAGGGGGCUUGUGAUGGAAAUGUUUGGGAGAAAGCCAGUCUAUUUAUAGUGAAAAUUUCCCACAGUGUAACGUGUGCGAGUGGAAAUGUCAAUGUACUCUUAUUUGCUAAUCGCAGUCUUUUUGACCUUUAUGACAGUGCAUUAUUUAGACAAGAAUGCCCUUAUUCUUCAUUGAAUUUAUAAUAUCCACUUUUUAUGAUUUUGUAAUUAAGAAGAAUGGUUGGGACAUUUUUAUCUUUUCCCACUAUUAGAAAAAUCAAGAAGAGUAGGAGUGCCAUUUAUAUUUCCAUCCACGAGAGUUAUGAAUCUAGUAGUACUUCCAGUAGCUAUGGUAGCUUGGUCUAUGAAUAGUAAGAAGGAGAAUAAAAUUUCUCCUCCUCUAGGGUGUAGCUAUAUACAAAGUACAGCCUUGUGGCCCUGCUACCCUAUGCUGCAGGGUUAUUCUUUAGCAAAUGGAAUGGCCUAUGGAAAAUAAUAAUAAUAAUAAGGAUAAGUUUAUUUAAUAAUAAUAAUAUUUAUUAUUAUUAUUAUUGUGAUACUAAUAAUAAUAAGGAUAAGUUUAUUUUAUUAAUUAACUUGGAACACACUACCAUGAGAGGCACGAGAAUUAGGGCCCAUCUGAGGUUCCUAUACUUUUGAUAAAAAAGCAAUUUUGGCUGCUAAAAAUAUUUUUAAGGCGUUUUGUAAACAUCAUCCUAUAAAUUUAGGAGUGUAGCUUUUAGUAUUAAAAGCACUUUUAAUAAAAAUUCAAAUUUGGUACUUUUAAAAUAGUUUUGUGUUUCAAAAAUUAAAAUAUUAAAUUUAAUCAUUUUAUAUAUUAUUAUUAACUAAAUAAAGAGAUAAAUACUUUUAAAAAAUUUUAAAUUAUACAUUAUUCAAUGCAAUAAGUACUUAUUGAACUAUGUGUUCAAAUAACAUUCUCAAAAGUAUUUAGAUACUUAAUAAGUGCUUUUAUUAAAAACUCUAUUAGAUGAAAUACUUUUGAUAAGUUACCAUAAUUCCAAACAACCCUCAGUGUCCUUGGAGUAUUUUGAACCUUCUUUGGAGUUUUAUUUGGGUGAUAGUGUGUAAGAUUCCAUAUUUGUGUAGAUAAAUUUUAUGUUUCGUUUAAUAUAAGGAAAUUAAAAUUGUCUAAACAUAUAUACAAUGAUAAGUUACUAAUUCAAAAUAGAAAUAUGAAAAAAAAACUUUUGGAGCACAAAGCUAAAUUGGUUGGUUCAUCAUCUUAGAGCUAAUUUGUUUGGAUCUUGGAGCUCUGGUCUAUCAGAUAUGAAAGGAAUGGAAUAGUAGGAUUUUCGAAUAGCCAGCUGCUACUGCGGACCCAGUUGUCCUUAAGUUCCUGCAGGAAAUUCGAAGAUAUAUUGCUACUUGCUGCAAUGUUUUGAAUGCUUGCUAGAAAGCAUUGGCCACUGAGUUUGAGUGGGUAAACAGUAGAUUAGUCUGAUAAUCUACAGGCUGCAGUUCUGUGCUGUUCAACAUUCGUUUUUGCACGUAUUUGCUUGUGUAAUUUUCUUGAUUGUCGAUAUACAUACUUCCGUGAGGAGGGUUCUUUUGGAUCUCAUACAAAUAAUGGGUUUUUCCUAAGAUAAAAAAAAAAAAAAAAGCAACAAGGACACAGCCCAAUUUACAGAGAAAAAUUUCAGUAACAAACUCUGUGAACAACAAGAAGGAAGAAUGUAAGCAUAAGUAAUCAAUGCAAAAAGUAAAGGAGUACAUUAUCUUAGCCAAAGGCCGAUAACGGUAUUAAAAUCCUUAUACUAUAUAAGAAUGAGUAAAGAUGUUCUUUGGAUUUCAACAGUAAGGGUAGGGCUAUUUUGGGAAUGUAAGAGUUUGAAGUGCAAUUGGAGUAUUGAAUACAAGUCAUUAUAGCUAAUUUAGUUUUGUUGUACUUACUUAGAUGUCCUUUUAGACAUUUAAAGCUAGAGGUGACAGAUAUCCGAUUGAACAUUGGGUAUAACUAAAUUCAGUUUGUGUUUUAGUGAAAUAACAUAAAAGUCCUUCUAAUCAUUUAAUUGUAUUAACAUUCAAGUCUCUUAAUUUUCUAAAGCUGCAAACUUAUGAUAUAUAGAUAUUAAGACACAAUUAAUGCCAAUUAGUAGAGAAGUUUACUUUCUUGGCCGUUACCCCAUCUGUAAUAUUCAUUUCAUUUACUUACAACUUUCUUCCACCACAAUCAUGUAGCCUAUUAAAUUUGGAUGUUGCUAUAUUAGCUACUCAUCUUCCCCAUUUUGCAACACCUUUCUUAAUAAGUAUAUAUUCUUUAGCCAAUCUACUUUUUGGUUGUAAGAAAUCUCAAUAGGUAUGUUUUCUUUAACCAAUCUACUUUUUGGUUGUAAGAAAUCUGUAAUCUUGAAGGUUGUAUGUGUGAUAAUUUUUUAGUAUUUUAAUUCAAUUGUCCAUAUUAGAUAAGCAUGAUAGGGAGGAGAUUACAUUUGUUAAUUAUUAUUUGUGGUUUAAAGUAAGUUUAUCAUUAUAAAUUUUCCCAUAUGCAGAUUGCAUCUACUUUUGUUGUUUACACUAUUAGUUAUGAUAAAUUUCAAACUGUUUGUUAUUUUAUUGAUGAUUCCAUUUAGGCAAAUUUUUCACUUCAUUUGAUUUGCCAAUAGGUUUAACUAUCUACUUAAAACUAUUUGGCUGCAAAUCUAAAGUAUGUACUUCAUUACUUUUAAUUGUUUUCUUGAAUUGAGUGGUCUAAAAUGUUUUAGUACUUUAUUUGACGUGGUUAUUCCUCUAAAUUAGCAUUUUAGUUGUUGUAUAUCUUUGCAACUAGAUCAAAAACUGAUAUGUAAGGAUUGUAAUCCCUAUCCAGAAGGAGAUGCUUUACUAUAUGUUCUAAAUCAUACAAUAAAUCAUAAUUGAUGGAUUGGUGAAUGUGGAGAUUUCAUGAUGAUAUGUCCUUGGAAUCAAUAGAAAUUCAAGAAUUUGGCUUGCAAGAACCGAAAUUCCACUAGCAAUGAUUUUCUUCAAAUAUGUUAAUUGUUCAAAUCUCACUUAUAUGACAAGAUAAUGUGGUGGAUUGCCCUUAUAUUAAGAUCAAAUUCAAACUAAACAAUAGAUUUUAAUAUCCAUAAAGUGCAUGAGCAGAUAUAAAUAGGCCUUUUAUUUUAUUAGGUUAGAUGCAAAAUAGUUGAUCGUAUCUUAUAAUUUUGUUUCAUUGCAUAUUAGUAUAUAUUUUAACUCAAUAUGUAACUUAUGAUUUUUCUGUUUAAUAUCAUAUAUUAAAAUUGUCAUACUUCAAUUCUUAUACUACAAAAUACCAAAUAAUAAUUAUUAACCAUCUUUAAUUAUAAGCACUAAACUCCCACGCGUCGCGUGGGCUUUUCCUCCUGGUUAAAAAAAAAAGGGUAAAGGAGCACAAGGACAUCAGCGAAAAAGAUUUGUCUAUUCACAACUACAUACAAGAAGUAAAAUAAAAAACGAGGUACCAUGACUAAAAUGAAAUACAAAAUUCUGUUUUUUAAAUUUAUUUCUGCUGCAAAAGAAAGUUUUUGGACCCCAACUUCAAAUUUCAAGAAGAUACAUUUUAACCCCUAGAGGGCCAAGACAACCUACAAUAAAAGAAAUUUUAAAACGGCACACGUACAAUUCAAUUGGCCAUAGAGACAUCUUGAUUAAUUUAGUUUGGUAGAUUUCACAUAUUUGUCAACACUUUUGGCAGGCUAGAGUCUAACGUUGCUUGGAGUUUCUGUUCUGUCUGUCCACUAGCUUUGCAUCAUGUCCAGUUGGUUGAUUAGGAGUAAUGGCUAUUAGCUAGUUAGCUGCAGUUUUGGGGCACACUUUUUUUUUUUUUUUUGAUUUGGGAUGAUAAUUUGUUUUUCUUUAUUAUUUUUUGUAGCAGAAGAUUCAAAUAGAACUUCCACAAGGUCGAGCUUAUGGUAUUAGAAUCUACUCUUUUACAUGUAAGACUUAAAACAGCACACUUGUUUUCUUUUUUUGUUAAUUUUUCCCCCUUUUAUGCACUUCAUCCCUGGUUGCUUAUUGCAAAUGAUGAUGCCAUGCUUUUUUCUUACCAUUUGAUAUUUGAAAUCUUGGGUCAUUUCUACAAUAACUUAGCACUUUUACUUUCCUUUUACCACCUUUAUCCCAUUGUUAUUUUUUGGAUAUGUAGAAUUUUAGAAUCACACAUUUUUUUUGGUUCGUUUUUUUGGGUUCCUUGAGACCUCUGACUUAGCUAACAUGAGAAUCGCUUGAUUGUGCAGAAUUUUAAUGCUUAAUCAAUUAGAAGUAAGUAGACAGAGCAAGCAUUACCUACACAUUUAUGGAAGGAAUUAGGGAGGGAAGUUUUAGUAAAUUAAGUUUGAAAAAUCUUUUUAAUUUAAAUGUUCUUUUCAAUUUUAAAAUUUUGUCCCUGCAAAAAUUAGAAAACAUACUUAAGUUUAGAUAUGUUAAAAUUCACCCACCAAAUUUUCUAACUCCAGCUAUGUGCAGAAGUUCUCCAGAAUUGGUCUAAGCAAAUCAAUUCCAGCAGAGGGCUUAAAAUUGUACGAGUCUCAUACGCGAAUCACUAUUACCUUUAGAUUAAUAUUUCCUAUGCUGUAAGUAUAUAAAUAAUUUUGCAAAAAAAAAAAAAGAAAAAAGAAAAGAGUCUUGAUUCAUCACAUUUAAUCUGUAUGCUUUUAAAUCGAACUUCUUAUAAUUUGCAUGUUUCCACCUUCAAAUCGACUGGCUCUCCAUACUGAGUCCAAGUGAUGCAAUUUCAGCCAACACGUUUGCGUAUAAGGGGUGUUCAAUUAUUCCACAACCAUUCUUUGAAGGUUAAUUCUAGAAUGAAGCCUUGGACUUAUUCACGCUCUGAACCUUGUUAACAUGUCAUAUUCCAAAUUAAUAAUUUAAGCUCAGGUAGUACGUAAGAAGUUCUUGGUACUUUCGUAGAAGUUGUAGCAGACGGCCAAGGUCACUUCCAGUGAUUUUCUCGCUAUUGCUAAUAAUUAAGUUUUGUCCAGUUUUGUCUUAUGCAUGGUCAUCACUAUCAAUCAUCCACAAAAUUAUCACUAUAUACUGUUGGUUCUAGACCAAAAUAAAUCAUAUAAGUAACAAUAAUUUCUCUAAUAAAAUUUAACAAAUAAAUUAACAAAAAUUCAUACCUUAGUCUUGCAUUAAAAAUGCAAAUAAUUUGUACCAUAAAAAUGUUGAUUUGGCAUGGGUUGAGGCGCGGACUAGGUUGUUCUCUUUAACACGAUCCGCGCCUCUACGGAGUAUCCUCCGGUGUAGUAGGUCUCAACACGUCGCCUCCAGGAUACAACAGCCCAACCUUUUGCACACUGUAGUCUACUCCAAUCUACACUAUUGGAACAAGACAGAAACCUCACACUAACACUGUUCUUUGCCCUAUAAACUCUUAUAGUAGUGGAGGAAAAAUAGAAGGUAGUAUAUAGAGCAAAGUAUAUAUUUGGUUUGGUUGAUAAAUGCCUUAUAUAUAGGCUAAGAAAUUAGGAAUAUUAAAAUACCAAUAUUAAUAGGAAUUAAUACCUCAUAUUUCAGUUACAAAUUAAAAAGUCUAGAUUCAUUGUAUAACGGUAAAAAAAAUUACUAAAUGAUUUCAUAAAACCUAAUCAUUACAUAAGUUACAAAAGCAAGACAUAAAUCCCAUAAGUUACACAUUUAAAUGUUUCAAUUUGUAACUGAAAAUUUAUUUAAAGAAUUUGUAAUUUAUUUUAUUUGAAUUCAAAAUAAAUAUGUGAUAUUUUUUUAUUAAAAUAUCCAACAAUCCCCCACUUAUUUUAAUAAAAAAAUAUAAUAUUCAAAACUUAACACUUAAUAGGGCAAAGAUUAAAAAUUCAUGCAUAAUGAAGGUGGCAAUGCCUUUAAACCUUCACUUAGUGCUCAACAAUUCCCGUGCUAGAGUCAAAGUGGACUUAGCCUUUAAACGAUGACUACUUGAGGGCACGUGAAAUCGUAUCACACGCAUGAACCUUUCAGUGUUCUAAAAUAGGUUUCAUAAGCCAGCACAUUUAUGACCUUGUGAUUUAUCCCGAUUUUCAUGAGUGCUCUAGAGAACUAGUCCAAAUUCUCAUAGGAACCGACCCUACUUCCACACUCAUAUAGGUGAGUCUAUCAAGGAUGCUCCUAUGAUUUAGACAUCCCACCCAUAAGGGUUAUAGAACUCAUUAAGGGAAUAAAAAUCCCAACCUCGCUUAUCGUCAUAGGAUCACAAAUGCACUUACAUCAUAGGGAUAGACAAUAUAAUCAAAGUAGUGCAUAUUAAUCAACCAAAUCACUCUAUGAUUCCUUUGUCUCCAACCUAGUUCUUGGGAUCUCCAGUCCCUAGGUGGUUGUAUCCUCAUAGGUGAUUUUUAACAUAUAUUAAACUUUUGUCUUAUCCUCCUCGAUGUAUAUCAUAUCCUUGACUCAAGCUUGAGAUUUAUUUUUUCAACACAAAUAAAAUAACAAAGAUAUGAUAUUCUUGAAUUUUUUCAAAUAAUCUCUUAGUGGUCCAAAUACAUGGAACCAAUCUUUGAUGAGAAAAUUUCUCAUCCAUAUAUUUUUGCCAAAUAGUGUAGGCGUAUAUUUACUCAUAAGUAAUUUUUUUAAUUUUUUCUAUGGCCAGUAGUCUAGUGAUGCACUAGAAGCCAUUCUCAAAAAACUCCAUGAUUAUUUUUGCUUUUGCAAAAAUAUCAAAAAAUAUUUCAAGUACCUUCACCUCAUGUCAUAUUUUUCAGUGAAUGCUCGUCUACACUACUCAAAAUAAAGUUAGAAUAGAUUCAAAAAACAAUAAUUAUGUUAUACUCACAAAUUGAGCAAAUAGAAUGGGCAUAUAUUUGCUCACAUCAAGCAAACCCACAUUAAUUUUCAUCAUUUCUGUAAUCUUCUCAGUGGCUAGUAAUCUAGUAACCCGCCACUCUCAUAGUCCUCAAUGAAUUUUCUUUUGCAAGAACACUUCAUAUGUAAUUCAAAUCUAUCCAAAUCAUGCCUCACUUUUUAAUCUGCACAACUCAAAUUAGAGAUUAAGAAAAUUCAAAAAAUAUAAUAGUCAAUGCACUAUUAUGUUUUAAUUUCAAAAUUCAACUUGCAAGUAAUGCAAGCCUUAUAAUGAAAAAUCUCAAGAGUUUCAAAAUUCAUAGCUACCAGCUUAGUCAACAUCCACUGUCCGCGUUUCCAUCCAAGCAUAGUCUUACUAUAGUCAUGCUUGGCAAGGAAAUGAAGUAUUCCUGUUUUCAUUAAAUGCAAAGACAGCCACAUAGCAAACAACAUGAAAUAAUUUAAUACAAAUCCAAAAGUUGUUGGUUGCCUGCAAAUUGAUGGCCUUUGACUCGAAUACAUAUUUUUCAAUGUACAACAUCACAUUUUCAACUCAAAAGUUCAUAUUCAUAAUUUUAACAAAAUACAAGUCAAGAGAAUAGAGUUGUUGAGAAUUAUAUGGCUAAUAACUUUAUAUUUCACAACUUCAAGCCACUAAAGCUAUUAUCCAUGUAUAUAAUUUUUCCUUGGUGACAGUGUAAUCUUUUCUUCAUGUAUAUAUUAUCAAUACCGAUUAUUGCUUGUGAAAAUGCAGACCUCAAGCUGGACUAAGAUCAUAUGAAUUGAAGACAAAACUAGAAAAUUUUAAACCCCUGCUAUUUAAAUAUAACUUGAACCCUCAUAAUUGCGGUUUUUUUUUAUAUAUCUUGAUACCACUAUUCUUAAGACAAUAACUGGCCACAUUAUACAUGCAUUUCAUGGAGUAUAUAUCUUUAUCACCAAAUUAAUCAUUUAUAUGUCAAUGCCAAAAUUUUCAAUCGGAAUAAACCCGUUAAUAUAAGAGACAUUGAAAGUUCACUAUGUAACAUGACAAGCUCAUGCGAAAAUAGUUGCUUCAUACAACAUAUAUUAAAAACUCAAAAAUAGCAAAAAAUUAUUGUAUUUGGUCUACUAAUAUACAAAGACAUCAUGCAAGUACCAUGUUUUUCUUGAACAAACAAAUACAUGAUAUUUUGUUAAUAAUAGGCAACUUGAAUUCAAAGGUAUAUAUUGUGAAUUAUUUAUAUGCGCUUACAUAAUAUUGAUACUAGACUCUAAAGCACAUAAAACCAAUGGAUAUUACCCUUUCUAGUUUCAGUCUAUAAUUGUGACCAUCCACAUGAAAUAUCUUGUUUAUUAAAGUUUGUCCGGAUUAUGUUAUAAACCAUGUAAGAUUCUUAUCGUUGGGAUUAUGUUAGUUUUAUGAUUAGAUUAUUUAGAAGCAAAACAUGCAAUGAUAAGCUUAUCUUAUGUAAAGAGGCUAACUCGUCUUAAAAUUGUUGGUUCUAGACCAAAAUAAAUCAUAUAAGUAACAAUAAUUUCUCUAAUAAAAUUUAACAAAUAAAUUAACAAAAAUUCAUACCUUAAUCUUGCAUUAAAAAUGCAAAUAAUUUGUACCAUAAAAAUGUUGAUUUGGCAUAGGUUGAGGCGCGGACUAGGUCGCUCUAUUUAAGACGAUUCGCCCCCUUACGGAGUAUCCUCCGGUGUAAUAGGUCUCAGCACGUUGCCUCCAGGAUACAGCAGCCCAGCCUUUUGCAUACUGUAGUCUACUCCAAUCUACACUAUUGGAGCAAGACAGAAAUCUCACACUAACACUAUUCUUUGCCCUAUAAACUCUUAUAGUAGUGGAGGAAAAAUAAAAGGUAGUAUAGAGAUAGCAAAGUAUAUAUUUGGUUUGGUUGAUAGAUGCCUUAUAUAAACGCUUCCAUGGUUUCUCGUGGACGUCGUCUUCUACAGCAAUAACUUUUUCCAGUCCCAGAUAUACGGCCCACGAUAUCUUCCCCUUCAUAAUAAAAAUGCUUACGAGGAGGCCUUUCAUGUGGCAAAACUCCAAGCCAUCCUUGCAAUUUGCUCCGCCAUCCCUGGCUAUUUGCCGCCGUCUUCUUCAUCGAUCGCAUUGGGAGAGUCAAAAUCCAAAUAAGAGGAUUCUUCUUCAUGGCCAUUGUAUUAUUUGCGAUUGGGAUCCCAUAUUACUCGUACUGGGAUCGCCAUGCCAAAGCGGGUUUCAUGUUCUUGUACGCUCUCACUUUCUUCUUCUCCAAUUUUGGACCCAAUACCACUACUUUCACAGUCCCAGCGGAGCUAUUCCCGGCUAGGUUCAGAUCAACGUGCCACGGCAUCUCGGGAGCUGCCGGAAAACUGGGCGCGAUCGUUGGGGUGGUGGCAUUUCAGUGGGCUUCUCCUGAUAAUUACCACCAGCCAGGAAUCAGAAUGACAGCGCCGCUAGUGCUCCUAGGUCUAGUAUCCUUGGUGGGAUGCGUCACGACGUAUCUUUUUACGCGUGAAACGAUGGGGAGAUCACUGGAGGAGAAUGAGAACGAAGACCAAGCUUGUGGGAGUGGUACUGGUUGGGGUUUGGUGAGGCAUUUUAGCUUCACAAGAUGUUCGCUGCCAAAGUUAUGUGCCAAUAAUGAAGUUGCAGAUGGCUAAUCAAAAUCAGGUAGAUACUACUAGCAUACUACUCAGUACUCGUACGUACAGAAUUAAGCAUGUAAAUCAUAUAUGGAACUACCCUACCCUAGUAACAGUUGAGUGUCGCUCCGCUGCAGAGUGAUCCUUUUCACUCUGUGUUCCUUGACACACACGCACACACACACAUAUAUAUAGGGAUUCAGGGUGUAGAAUACGUAAUAGUUUAUUUGACUAAUUCCACCUUGUGGAUUAGUUUUAUUGUAUUGAUUGUAAUGUACAUUACACUGCUUGGGAAUACAUUUUAACUUACAAAAAAAAAAAAACAUAAUAGCAUAUUGCUGGCAGCUUAGUACAUGGAGUAUAUGAUUGUGCCAUUAAAGUAUUUGUAUUUGCACCAACAACCAGCUUUUUCUACUACAUGGAGUUUAUGAUGAUCUGUGUGGAGGCAAAUAAAACUUUGAUUUGAUUCAAAAUGUUCAUUGGAGUCUGUGUGUAUUCUCCUCCCCCCUCGUCUUAUUGUUUAGUACACUUCAUUUUUCCUUCAGCACAACAACAUGACAGGGAUCGAUGGUGAUAAUAGGAAAUGCUAAAAAUAGUCACUAAACAAUUUCCAGUUCCUUAUUUUGUCACCAAACUUUUUAUUCAGCCAAAAUAGUCAUUUAAUUAAUAAAAGAGUACAUUUUUGUUGCUCAACUCAUAAAAACUCUCAUUUCUAAUUUUAGCCACUUAGGUAAUUAAUGAAAACAUAUGAUGCUUCUUUGGUCAUAAAAUAUAGUAUGUUCUAAUUAGUUGAAUGGCAUUUUUUGGCUAAAUAAAAAGUUUAGUGGCUAGAAGAAUAGAGAAUCCUAAAGGAUUCAGUAACAAUCUGUGACAUUUGCUCUAUUAAUAACCGUAGAGAAGGAUUAAAAAAUCCAAAUCACAACAUCAGCAGCAUUUUCUACUACAGAAGUACGUCCUCCAGCAUGUUAGCUCGUUCCUGAUUGGAGUUUUUAAGAAGUUUUUGUGGAUUGUAAUAAUGUAAAGUAUGUAAAAUAUAUAAAAAGAUAAUUAAAAAUAUAUAAAAAAAAAGUUUUCAGAAAAACUCGCAAUCCAAACAGAUCUUAAUUUAAUCUUAAUGUUUCCUAAGGUUCAAAGAAGUCUAGUAAUCCAUCGCUGCGUGGCCAUGUAGAUCUAGGUUAUAUUCAUUUUGAGUAUAAAUAUAUAAUGAAGUCAUGAAUUUUGGAAUUUAAAGACGAUUAUGGUGUGUUAACUAAUAGAUUGUUAAACAUGUUUCUCUUUCAGCUGGAUUUUCUCACGAACUGAAUAGGUUUAUCUCACUGUUUGCCCAAAUAUCUUCUAAGCCAACAACCUAUCUAAUAUUAAGAGCAGAAUUUUCUUCUCCCUGGGGCUGAGCUCUUAGAAUCUGUUUGUAGAGUUCACCUAUAAAAUGUGAUUAAAGGUCACGCUAUGUCUAAGUGAUAGAUACAAAAUUGAAAAUUUUUAAAAUCAAGACGGCAGAUCAUCAUUUAAUUUGUGUUUGUCAUAUAAAGUAGUAUAUCGUUUAGAAUAAGAUUUUCUUUUCUAUAAAUUAAAAAAAAAACACACACACAAUACAAGAUUUUGUUUAGUUUUUACAUUGAAAGUUGUAAAUUUUGCCUAUAAUAAUAAUGCUCUAAACCACAAAAAAAAAAAAAAUUGUCUAGUAGAUGACAUGGCUCACACAGCUCUAGAAGACUGAAAGCUAAUCUAUAAAAGAAAUACAAGAAAAGAAAAAAAAAAUGAAAGUGAGAACUCGUUAAAUAGGAAUGGCUGGAAAAAAAUGAAUAUUCUUCUUGACUAAGGCAGAGCGGGAGCCUUUUUAAUUUGGAACAUUCUUGAUUAAUUUCCUGAAGAUAGCAGCAAGCUAGUGGAAGUCUGCUUACGCAUCCCUGAGAACUUUUCUUUAAGAUAUGGUUAAAAGGUAAAUUUUCCUAGUUAAAUUAUUAAUCUAUGUAUUUGUGUAUAAAUUAUUAAUCUAUGUUAAAAGUUAUAAAUUCUUCCCAAACAAUACGUAAGCACAUACCAGUGCCAGUCUUGACUCCAUGGGCAGAAUUUUUUGCAGAUACUACUCAAACUCAAACCCUCACUCCAAAAAGGAAAGGAAAAUGGAUAAAUGCUGUCCCCCUGUUUCCAGCAUUAGCUUCACAGAAUACAUGAAAGACCCUGUAGCAAACUCUCGUUUUUCUUUUCCCACAAAUUUGUUGUUCUAUACUUUAAAGCCACGCAGAUGACAGAAAUGUAGACUACAAUAAAAAUCUAUGUAUUUGUGACUAACGAUUUCACUUGUAAGAUUUAGAAUAUAUAUAAUAGUUUUCUUUUAUGCAUCAGCAUUGGUCACUCAGAUAUAUAUGAAACUUAAGUUGCAUAUAUAUGCCGUUUUAUUGUGGCUUUUUCUAAUGAAAUAUUCAUGUUUGUUCAUGCAAUAAACUCAACAAUUUUUCCCGUCCAAAAAAACAAAAAAAGAAGAGAAAAACUCAAUAAAUUUUCUCACCGCCUUGUUUGUAUCGCAUUAUUGACAUUUGGUUUUUGUUUAUCAUCAAUCACAUUUCUCGGUCAAGGUUUUCAAUUCGAAAUAAAAUCUCAAUCGAAUUAGACCAACAUACAUGAGGCAUGGGCAUUUAAAAAAACAUUUAAAAAAAAAAACACACACACACACACACACAAUGUGUAUUACCAGUAAAAGCAGUACUGCAUGCAACAACUUGCUACAAUAUUCUCCUUGAUUUAUUCAUAUUACAACAAUACUUUGGUAGUCACCAUAUCACUGAUUCGUGAUUAAUACACACGAACGCAGAUGCAUAGCCAAGAGAAGAGAUGGAUCCAUGCAUUUCAUUCGUAUUUUAGGUUACACUGCAAGGAGAAGUCGAAGUUGCAUGCACGGAUGGACGAUCGUCAUAAACUACUAAAAGAAACCAAAUGCGAACGCCACAACAUUGAUGACGACUCCUCCAACACCGUUCACAAGUCCUCCAACAGUACCUGUGAGACCACUCAGGGCAUUAGCGAGCAACAAACCAACAGGCGUAAGAACCCCCCUGAGCACUCCCCUGACCGGUAAAACUGGGCAACUCCGAACGGGAAGUUGGACAGACACCUGGCAGACGGAAAUUAUUGAAUUGAUGCUGAGGUUUAGGUUAAGGUUAACACCGGGUCGAGUAACUAGGGUGGCAUUGAAGAAUCCAUUAAUAUCAGUUCGAACAGGAACCCUAGUGAUGUUGGGACAGGUUAUAAUCACGGUUGCAUUAACCAAGGGUGGUGAAUUACCGAUUGGUGAAGGGUUCCCUGUAGGAGUACAGUAUAACCUGCCAUUUACCAACAAGGCAGCGGGAGUUAGUGAAAUGGCACCUUUUCCCACAUGUGGAGUAGCAGCCAUGAUAGUGAGGAGGAGAGCAAGGCUCAGAAAAAUACCAUGACUACCAUUAAAAGCCAUGGCUAGAAUAGUGUUGAUCGGGAUUUUGGGCUAAUUUAUGUUUGUAAAAGGAGGAGGAGGCUUGUGGUGGAAAUGUUUGGGAGAAAGCCAGUCUAUUUAUAGUGAAACUUUCCAGGUGUAACGUGUAAGCGUGGAAAUGUCAAUGUACACUUUAUUUG